AUGAACGCUGGCGGCGUGUCUAAGGCAUGCAAGUCGAAUGCACUUCGGGUGCAUGGCAGACGGGAGCGUAACACAUUGGUAAUCUACCCCUAAGAGGAGCAUAACUCUCCGAAAGGAAAGCUAAUACUCCAUGUGCCCCGCAUUUACAUGAAUGCGGUGUAAAGGUUUACUGCUUAGGGAGGAGCCUAUGCCCUAUCAGCUAGUUGGUGAGGUAAUGGCCCACCAAGGCUUUGACGGGUACCGGGUGUGAGAGCAUGACCCGGCUCAAUGGGACUGAGACACUGCCCAUACUUCUACGGAAGGCUGCAGUCGAGAAUAUUCCACAAUGGCCGCAAGGCUGAUGGAGCGACGCCGCGUGCAGGAAGAAUCCCCAUCGGGGUGUAAACUGCUUUUUUUAGGGAAGAACAAAUGACGGUACCUAAAGAAUAAGAGGCUGCUAACUUCGU
rnacentral:rRNA from 1 species